AAAUAGAUACCCGGGUAGUCCACGCCGUAAACGAUGAGUGCUAAGUGUUAGAGGGUUUCCGCCCUUUAGUGCUGCAGCUAACGCAUUAAGCACUCCGCCUGGGGAGUACGGCCGCAAGGCUGAAACUCAAAGGAAUUGACGGGGGCCCGCACAAGCGGUGGAGCAUGUGGUUUAAUUCGAAGCAACGCGAAGAACCUUACCAGGUCUUGACAUCCUCUGCCAACCCUAGAGAUAGGGCGUUCCCCUUCGGGGGACAGAGUGACAGGUGGUGCAUGGUUGUCGUCAGCUCGUGUCGUGAGAUGUUGGGUUAAGUCCCGCAACGAGCGCAACCCUUGAUCUUAGUUGCCGGCAUUUAGUUAGGCACUCUAAGGUGACUGCCGGUGACAAACCGGAGGAAGGUGGGGAUGACGUCAAAUCAUCAUGCCCCUUAUGACCUGGGCUACACACGUGCUACAAUGGAUGGUACAAAGAGCUGCGAACCCGCGAGGGUAAGCGAAUCUCAUAAAGCCAUUCUCAGUUCGGAUUGUAGGCUGCAACG
rnacentral:rRNA from 1 species